rnacentral:rRNA from 1 species
CACUUUGGUAAAGCUACUAAGGGUGUACGGGGGAUGCCUAGGCACAUGGAGACGAUGAAGGACGUGAUAAGCUGCGAUAAGCCUCGGGAAGGUGCAAAUAACCUUUGAUCCGGGGAUGUCCGAAUGGGGAAACCCACUUGAAUUAAUCUUCAAGUACUUCUAUUUGAAUACAUAGGAUAGAUAGAGUCAACGGAGUGAACUGACACAUCUAAGUAACUCCUGGAAAAGAAAAUAAAAAUGAUUCCCCUAGUAGUGGCGAGCGAACAGGGAAGAGCCUAAACCAUUAACGUGUCAAGCUUACAGGCGUUGCGUUAUUGGUGUUGUGGGGCAAAUUUGGAACUAACUGUAAUUAGUUCGACGAGUCAAAAAUUCAAUGGUUAGGUGAACGAUCUGGAAAGUUCGAUCAUAGAAGGUGAUAAUCCUGUAACCGAAAACCAGAGAACUCGUUGAUUUUUGUUCCCAAGUAGCGDGGGACACGAGAAAUCUUGUGUGAAUCUGCCGGGACCAUCCGGUAAGGCUAAAUACUCCCAUGUGACCGAUAGUGAACUAGUACCGUGAGGGAAAGGUGAAAAGUACUCCUAACGGAGAGUGAAAUAGAACCUGAAACCGUAUACCUACAAGCGGUCGGAGCUCCAUUUAGGUGGGGUGACGGCGUGCCUUUUGCAUAAUGAGCCGGCGAGUUGCUCGUACGUUGCAAGGUUAAGAAUGGACAUUCGAAGCCGAAGCGAAAGCAAGUCUGAACAGGGCGUUCAGUAGCGUGCGGCAGACCCGAAACUGAGUGAUCUAGCCAUGACCAGGAUGAAUUCUCGGUAACACGAGAUGGAGGUCCGAACCCACUUCGGUUGAAAACGGAGGGGAUGAGUUGUGGUUAGGGGUGAAAGGCCAAUCAAACUCAGAGAUAUCUGGUUCUCGCCGAAAUGCCUUUAGGGGCAGCGUUGUAUUAGUGUAUCGGGGGUAGAGCACUGAAUGGGCUAGGGGGCCUACAAGCUUACCAACCCCAAUCAAACUCCGAAUACCGAAUACAUGAUGUACAGCAGUGAGGCUAUGGGCGAUAAGGUUCAUAGCCAAGAGGGAAACAACCCAGAUCAACAGCUAAGGUCCCAAAGUCAAUGCUAAGUGAAAAAGGAUGUCAAAUCGCCCAGACAGCUAGGAGGUUGGCUUAGAAGCAGCCAUCCUUUAAAGAAAGCGUAACAGCUCACUAGUCGAGGGGUUUUGCGCCGAUAAUAUCCGGGACUAUAAGCAUUGCACCGAAGCUUUGAACUCAAUUUAUUGAGUGGUAGGCGAGCGUUCCAUCGACCGUUGAAGGUUGACCCGUGAGGGCAGCUGGAGGAAAUGGAAAUGAGUAUGCUGGCAUGAGUAGCGUUAAACAUAGUGAAAUUCUAUGUCACCGUAAGCCCAAGGUUUCCUGAGUAAAGUAACUCUGCUCAGGGUUAGUCGGACCCUAAGCCGAGGCCGAAAGGCGUAGGCGAUGGAAAACGGGUAAAAUAUUCCCGUACCAGCGAUUAUUUGUUUGAACUAGGGGGGGACGCAGGAGUGAAAGGUUAGCACGGUAUUGAAUGUCCGUGUCUAAGCAUGUAGGGUGAUCCGGUAGGUAAAUCCGCUGGGUCUUAUAGCCUGAGAUGUGAAUGGGAAGCGCGCCUUCGGGCAAGCCAACUGACCCUAAUCAUACUGCCAAGAAAAUCCUCUAUGUUAGAAUAAUAGCUGACCGUACCGUAAACGGACACACGUGGGCGAGGAGAGUAUCCUCAGGUGCUUCGGAGAAUCAUGGUUAAGGAACUCGGCAAAAUAGCCCCGUAACUUCGGGAGAAGGGGUGCCCUAAUUAGGUAGAGAUCUUCGCGAUCCGAGCUGAACAGGGCCGCAGUGAAGAGGCCCAAUCGACUGUUUAACAAAAACACAGGUCUAUGCUAAGUCGUAAGACGAAAUAUAUGGACUGACACCUGCCCGGUGCCGGAAGGUUAAAUGGAGAGGUUAGCUUUCGAGCGAAGCUUUGAAAUGAAGCCCCGGUAAACGGCGGCCGUAACUAUAACGGUCCUAAGGUA